AUAGUACUUCCACCGUCCAACAAAAGAUGUCUCAACUUUGUUAAAAUUUGAAUUUAUCUAUACACUAAGUCAUGUCUAGACUCUAGAUAUAUUUAAAUUUUGACAAACUUGAGACAUCUUUUGUUGGACGGAGGGAGUAUGAA
rfam:Brachypodium distachyon strain Bd21 chromosome 3, whole genome shotgun sequence.